UAUUAAUAUAGUUAUAAAUUUCUAUUUAUAAAGUUCUUUAUGUUACUUUUUAAAAAAUACAUUUUAUAGAAGAUUGAUUUUUUUAGUUUUGUUAUCCAAAGAGAGAUUUUUUAUUAGUUCUGGCGAAGCCUGUGCCAGCCGCCGCGGUUACACAGGGGGGGCACAGAAAUUGAGUUGAAGUAAAAAAAUUUUUUUUUCUAUGGUAACUAUUUAGGUGAAAUUUAUAGUUGGGGUUUAUAAUUUGAUUUUUAGAAAUUUUUGGUUUAAACUAGGAUUAGAUACCCUAUUAUGAAAUAUGAGAGAUUGGUAGUAGUUAGUUAUAUGAAAUCUAAAGAUUAUGGCGGUAUUCUAAGCUUUUUAGAGGAAUUUAUUCUAUAAUUGAUAAGACACAAGGAUCUUACUUAAUUUGGUUAAGCAGUUUGUAUAUCGCUAUCAUUUAAUAAUUUUGAAUAAUGAUUAUUGAAAUAAAUUUUUAUUUUGAAUGUUAGGUCAAAAUGCAGCUAAAAAUUUAGUUUGAAAUAAGUUACAUUGAUUAAUAUCGGGGAAAUUGAAAUAUUUGUUAGGAUUUAAUAGUAAAUUGGAAUUAUAAUGUUUGGUUGAAUAGAGCUCUAGAAUAUGUACAUAUCGCCCGUCACUCUCAGUAUGAGAUAAGUCGUAACAAAGUAAGGGUACCGGAAGGUGUCUU
rnacentral:ncRNA from 1 species